rnacentral:rRNA from 1 species
UACGGAGGGGGCUAGCGUUGUUCGGAAUUACUGGGCGUAAAGCGCACGUAGGCGGCUUUGUAAGUUAGAGGUGAAAGCCCCGGGGCUCAACUCCGGAAUUGCCUUUAAGACUGCAUCGCUAGAAUUGUGGAGAGGUAAGUGGAAUUCCGAGUGUAGAGGUGAAAUUCGUAGAUAUUCGGAAGAACACCAGUGGCGAAGGCGACUUACUGGACACAUAUUGACGCUGAGGUGCGAAAGCGUGGGGAGCAAACAGG